AACGCAUAUUGCGCCCUUUGGUAUUCCGAAGGGCAUGCCUGUUCGAGCGUCAUUAUCAACCAUCAAGCUUAGCUUGUCGUUGGACCCUUUGUCGUCUAGUGACAGGUCCGAAAGAUAAUGAACGGCGUCACGGUGACCCUACAUGCAACGAGCUUGUAAAUAGCACGCAUAUGGUGGUCGUCCGGGCACUGGUCGUCACCCUUUAUUUUCUCUAGGUUGACCUCGGAUCAGGUAGGAAUACCCGCUGAACUUAA
rnacentral:misc_RNA from 1 species